rnacentral:rRNA from 1 species
GUGCCAGCAGCCGCGGUAAUACAGAGGUUGCAAGCGUUAAUCGGAAUUACUGGGCGUAAAGGGUGCGUAGGCGGUUUUGUAAGUGAGAUGUGAAAUACCUGGGCUUAACCUAGGAUGGUCAUCUUAUACUGCGAAGCUAGAGUGAAGGAGAGGGUAGUGGAAUUUCCGGCGUAGCGGUGAAAUGCGUAGAUUUCGGAAAGAACACCGGUGGCGAAGGCGGCUACCUGGCCUUUAACUGACGCUGAGGCACGAAAGCGUGGGGAGCAAACAGGAUUAGAUACCCUGGUAGUCC